CUGCACCAGUUUUGUGGUUAAGUGGAAGAUUUCAGGCUCGGCAGCUAUCAACUGUCACCAACAUCCUCUCCACCUUUACGCAAUACAUCUUUUGUUCAGAUGAGGAUCAUUCUGGACUGACCUGUGAAUACAGCUUCCUUGGAAAGUUACCCAUCCAAGGCUACGCGCUACAGAAGACUGUCAAGACUGCAUCCAGCAAUUGGUGGCUGGCAAAGAGGAAGAUCUGGUUUUUCCUCCUCAUGUGGGCUCCUGUAACGUUGCUGUGGAUCUGACUGUCAAGAACAGGACAUUCCAGUAACCUCA
rnacentral:lncRNA from 1 species